AGUUUAGCUGCAAAACAACGCUGAUCUUCACAGACCUCCAGUGGAAUCAUGAAGUCCCAUCAGAUCUCUGCCUUCUGCCUCCUGAUGACAGUGCUGCUGUCCUCCACUCUGGCUCGUAAUGAAAACCGACCAGAACACUGUUGUUUUAAAUACCUUUCUGGAAGACUGAAGAUGGACAUGAUAUCUGGAUAUAUGGAGACCAGAGGGGACUGCCCUAAACCUGGAAUUAUAUUUUACACCAAUAUGGGCUUUGAAGUGUGUGUCAAUCCCAGCGCUCACUGGGUUGAGGAAGUCAAGCAGAAGCUGGAUAAGCAGUAACACCUCCUGUCUGCUUCGGAGAAGAACAAGAAGAAGACAUUUGUAUUUCAUUUCAGAUUCUACUUUAAUUUUCCCAAAACAUUAUUUCCUGUCAUCUUCUAAAAUAAAUCAUAUACGUUUUUACAACAUUUUAUAUUUGCUUUUAAAAUUUACUUUACAUUUACUUUAGUAAAUCUAGCAGAAGCUUUUCUUCAACGCGACACAGAAGUGAGGAGACAGGAGGGAUGACUAGGCUGAGCUUCAUACAUAUCUUCAGUUGUUUUUUUAAACAGUUCAGUUUGCAUUUGCAUUGUAUUGCAUUUAUACCACUUUGCAUGCAUGUCACAGAAUAAAGACUACUGAACAGUUA